AUGUUAUGGCUUGAACGGUUUUCCUCUCUCAAGAGACUGGAGUUCGAUGUAGUUCCCUGUCGCCUCCCGUUUCCUGGUCUGCCCUCUUCGCUGGAAUCUUUCAUUAUCAGAAAAUGUGAUCCAGAGGUGGCGGAAAGCUGGAAAAAGAAAGAGAGCUUUCAAUGGAACAAGAUUUCCCGCAUCGGUCAUGUAAGAAUAGGAGACACAAACUACUCUUUGGGUCAGGAGAGACGUGUUACAAAUUUGGUGAACACAGCUACCCAUUUUGAUAGCUGUGGUUCCCUACGAGGAAAGAGAACUAAAAGGUGA
rnacentral:rRNA from 1 species